rnacentral:rRNA from 1 species
UACGAAGGGGGCUAGCGUCGCUCGGAAUCACUGGGCGUAAAGCGCACGUAGGCGGCUUUUUAAGUCAGGGGUGAAAUCCUGGAGCUCAACUCCAGAACUGCCUUUGAUACUGGGAAGCUUGAGUCCGGAAGAGGUGAGUGGAACUCCGAGUGUAGAGGUGAAAUUCGUAGAUAUUCGGAAGAACACCAGUGGCGAAGGCGGCUCACUGGUCCGGUACUGACGCUGAGGUGCGAAAGCGUGGGGAGCAAACAGG